GAUGAAGAACGCAGCAAAAUGCGAUAAGUAAUGUGAAUUGCAGAAUUCAGUGAAUCAUCGAAUCUUUGAACGCACAUUGCGCCCGCCAGUAUUCUGGCGGGCAUGCCUGUUCGAGCGUCAUUUCAACCCUCAAGCACAGCUUGGUGUUGGGACUCGCGUUAAUUCGCGUUCCCCAAAUUGAUUGACGGUCACGUCGAGCUUCCAUAGCGUAGUAGUAAAACCCUCGUUACUGGUAAUCGUCGCGGCCACGCCGUUAAACCCCAACUUCUGAAUGUUGACCUCGGAUCAGGUAGGAAUACCCGCUGAACUUAAGCAUAUCAAUAAGCGGAGGA
rnacentral:misc_RNA from 1 species